rnacentral:lncRNA from 10 species
CCAAGAUAAAAGAAACUGUUCAGUAGAACAAAAUGUUUAUCUUUGUUACAUUCAUGUCAUCUUGGGUUUUGUUAUUUUUAUGUUUUUGUUUGUUUGUUUCUUUGUUUUUUUGAGACAGACUCUUACUCUGUCGCGCAGGCUGAGUACAGCGGCGCAGUCUCGGCUCACUGCAACCUCCGCCUCCUGGGUUCAAGUGAUUCUUCCACCUCAGCCUCCUGAGUAGUUGGGAUUAUAGGCAAGUUUUGUUAUUUUUUUAAUCGUGAUUUAAGACUUUGUAAUACAGCAAUUUGAAAACCUGAUUUCAAGUCUAGUUUACUUAAAUUUUUUUUUUUUUAAGAGACGAGGUUGUUCUGUCACCCAGGCUGGAGUGUAGUGGUGCAAUUAUAGAUCACUGUAGCCUCGAACUCCUGGGCUCAAGUGAUUCUCCCAUCUCAGCCUCCCUCAUAACUGAGAAUACAGUUGUGCAUCGCCACACCAGCUACCUUCUUGGGUUUUGUGCUGUUGUAAUGGAAAAAGUCAUAACGCAAAAAUACAUAUAUCUAAAUGAAAGAAGUCUAUUUUGGAGGUGCUUUUCAUUAGGGACAUGAGCAUAUGCAAAUUGGAAACUGACAAGGUUGAAGGUAGGGAUUUCACAGGUGCUUCCUUCCUUCUCUCCCAUCUCCUCCAUCUCCUCCUCCUACCCUUCCUGCCAAGGAUCUUUGUACCCCUCUAAAUCGUGUUACAUAAACAAGUAACUGUGACCCAUGUUCAAACAGUUCCUCCAAAGACCCUAUUUCUCUGUAACACAAUGAGUUAAUGUUUAUAUUUAACUCUUAAUAAAGACCUAAAUUUUUUGAAAACUCAUAAAUGAAUGGAAAAUAUAUACCAGUGUCUUUGUUUUGGUUAGGCAGUCUUAGGAGCUUGGAGCUUCAGACCGCUAGAGCCAUGGUUCUCAAAUUCUUGAUGAAUAUGGCCCCUUUCCAUGGAACACAGCAUCUUAGUGAUUGGAACUAACAAAAGACACUGCAAAAAGUUUUCAAAAUGAAUUAUUAAAGUGCAUCUGUAUCUCUGUAAUAAUUGAGUAAUAGUAAUACAUGCAUGUGAUAUAUUUCUGUGUUUCUUUCAAUUUUUUUUUUAGAGAUGGGGUCUUGCUAUGUUGCCCAGGCUCGUCUUGAACUUCUGGACUCAAGCUAUCUUCCUGCCUCUGUCUCCCAAGAGGCUGGGAUUACAGGCACAUGCCACUGUGUCUGGCUUGUAUGUGAUAUAUUUCAUCAAUCCUCAGAUAAGACUUGGGAUACUUAGGGAUUAGGCAACCCUGGCAACCACUCCACAACCCUAGACCAUAACCAAGAUGCCUUGAAGACACUCCCCUAGUGGGAGGGAAAGGACUUAGGAAUGAAUAUCCAGACCUCUUAGUGAUUGUUUUGAAAACUCAAACCUAUUACUUGGUGACCAACCUUAUACUAACCUAAGAGCCAUAUGCUAAGGCAGGCAUGGUGAAAUUGUCAAUCUUUUUCUAGCUCCAGUCUGCAUGACGAUUGAUGCUUGUGACCUCCUAGGGCAAAAAGUGAAAUGAGGAGAGAAAAUGAAGAGAUGCAGAUAAAAUGCUUACACAGUAAAAGACCCAUCUGCGGGGUAACUGAGGCGCAAGGAUGUCCGCUAGUGCAGUGCUUCUAAACUUAAACCUACAUGGAAAAUACCUGUGUAUCUUGAUAAAAUGCAGAUUAUGACUCAACAGAUCUGGGCUGGGGCCUGACAUUCUGCAUUUCUAGAAGCUCCCAGGAGAUGCAGACGCUGCUAGUCCAAGACCAUAUGCCCUGAGUAAGGAGGCCCUAUCCCGUGUGCAUUCUCAACUGGGAGUCCAGUCUUCCUUGAGCCUGUCUCCUUUUGCUGACAGCAACCAACGGGUGUGAGAUCUAAGCAGAGGCUGGCUUUGUUUCUUUCAGUCUCAUCCUCUCUGGGGACGGACGGAGCAGUCAAGCCAAGGAGGAGCGGUUCUCGUGGGUCCCACAGCGCCCCCCGCUGGCAGGAGGACACUCCAACGGGAGACCAGUCUUAGGGUAGAGGCGCAGCUGAGUUUCUGGCUGAAGAUGAGGGCUGGAAGCAGGUGAAGCCAGGGAAGCAGCCCCUCGGCAUGGGCUGUUGGCACCUAGCACGCCCACUGAGGCUCCUCAUGGAACGGAAGUCCCUCUGUGACUGGAGCUACCAGUGUCACAGCUGUAGCAGGGACAAGCGGCUCAGGAGUGCCCAGUAGGGCUGGUUCCAGCAGAAUCUGCACCUGUAAGAGAUGCCGAGUACCUGGACACCUUCUGCCGGUUACAACUUCAACCUCCGCCUCCUGGGUUCAAGCGAUUCUUCUGCCUCCGCCUUUUGAGUAGCUGGGAUUACAGGGCGUUGGAGAAUUCAAUCCCAUCUGUCAUGUGGAAAUUUACAUCAAUCUAACAUUACUCAAGCUGGAAAGGAUCUUAUCGAGUCUUCUACUUCAACCCAUUCAUUUCAAGAUGUGGAAACUAAGGCUCAAAGAGAUAAAGUGACUUGUCCAAGAUCCCAGCUCCAGGUGGCGGCCCUUCUUACGCGCCUGCCGCAAGGACCUCUUGACCUUCUUCACUCGCUCCCGGAGCUGCCGGUUGCGCUUCUCCAGGGUGGCCACUUUCUGCUGCAGUUUCUUGACGUGGUCCUCCUCCUCAAACAAGGCCUUCUGCACCGAGGAGCACAUGAGCUGGAGGCAGAGACAGCGUGCAAGGAGAGGAGGGCUGCACUUAGCCUCCAGAGUUGUCUCUUCAACAAGACAGGUCUGAUCAUCUCAGUAACCUUCUUCUGGGACUCCUGUUAGACGUGUAUAUUUAAUACCAUUGGCUAAGUCGUAACAAUCAUCCAAGUCAACCGACCUCCCAGCCUGCCCACAUUGCCUCCCUGUAGGAAGUGAUUUUGCACACAGAAGCCCCUGGUGGGGUAGGGUGGAGUGUGAAGUAUCUGUUCUUGGACCACAGUUCCAUCCCUGGAGCAGCAAUUGUGAAGCAUCGUUCUCCUGUUCCAGCAUCUCUCCAAAGACGCUCAGGUCUCCGUCACAGGAUCACCAUUGAAAAAGGUGUCUGUCCCUCUGACACAUACCCAGGGGAGGAAAGAGCAAGCUUUGGAGGCACCUGGUUGACUUCACCUGGAGGUAUGUUUUAUGACCCAGAAUGUGAUCUAUCUUGGUAAAUGUUACAUGUGAGCUUGAGAAGAAUAUGUGGCCUGCUGUUGGUGGAUGAAGGAGUAUACUCAUUCACUCUGAGCAUCCCACAGUUCAUCAGUUACAGUUCCGCCUUUCCUACCCUGAUACUGGUUCCCACAGGCGUUUUU